rnacentral:lncRNA from 1 species
UGAGAUGGAGGCUCACUCUGUUGCCCAGGCUAGAGAGCAAUGGCAUGAUCUUGGCUCCCUGCAACCUCCGCCUCCCUACUGAAGCUGAAGCAGCUGCAAGAAACAGACCUCUCAGAUACUGGAACUAGGAAGGAAGAGGUGAUUUAUUUUGGCUGGAGCAAGGCGAUACAUUUGUCUAACAGCCAAGCUCUCCUAACAAAGAGAAGCUCUGCCUCUGUAUAGGCUUACAACUCUUGAUAUUACACGUGAUGGGUCUUGGUCGAUGGACUAGGAGUGGGGUGGGGGUUUGAUCUUGUUUAAGUAAAAACAAUGCCUUCUGGAGAGAUUCCCCCAUUUUAUGCCUGCUAUCUAUAGGAAGGCAAUUAAGGAGGUGCCAAGCGGCCAGCCUCUCCUUCUAUUAAAUGCAGCGUGGAAGUCAAGGGGGGAGGUAAUCCUAGAUGCUUGGGUCUCCUUCCUCCCUACAACCUCUGCCCCCCUACAACCUCUGCCUGCCAGAUUCAAGUGAUUCUCCUGCCUCAGCCUCCCAAGUAGCUGGGACUACAGGCACUUGCCACCAUACUCAGCUAAUUUUUUGUAUUUUUAGUAGAGAUGGGGUUUCACCAUCCUGACCAACAUGGUGAAACCCCAUCUCUACUAAAAAUACAAAGCAUUAGCUGGGCGUGGUGGUGCAUGCCUGUUAUCCCAGCUACUUGGAAGGCUGAGGCAGGAGAAUCACUGGAACCUGGGAGAUGGAGGUUGCAGUGAGGCGAAAUCCUGCCAUUGCACUCCAGCCUGGCAACUAGAACAAAACUCCUUCUCAAAAAAAAAAGAAACCAAGCAUUUAGAGUCAGACAACACUGGAUUCAAAUCCCAGAUUUUCUGCUUACUAGCUAAAUAACCUAGAGUUAACAUCUCUCUAAGCCUCAGUUUCUGUAUCUGAAAAAUGGAGGUGAUAAUAUAACCUACCUGGCAGUAAGGAUUAGUUGAGGUUAAAAAGUGUUAGAGUCAUUUUUCACUUCUCCCUGACACACUUCUAGCUAACACUACUGCUCUCUUAACUCAUUAUAAGUUUGCUUGGCACUGCAAUGGAUGAUAUAAGAGGAUAGAAUAUCUACCCAGUAACUGACCAGUUCUCACCAACUCCACUGUUGGUUACUAUUUGGUCUUACCCUGAUUGUCACUCACCUGCAUUAUUAUAUAGCGGGAAUCACCUCCUAACUUAUUAUCCUGCUUCCACUUGUCCUCCUAGCUAGUGAUUCUUUUAAAACAAGUCAGAAAUAACACUGCUCUGCUUAAAAUCCUAAAGUGGCUUUCCAUUUCACUCUGAAGAAAAGCCAAAGUCCUUAUAAUGGUCAAAGGCCCUAUGGGAUCCCCUCCCUACCCACCCGCCACAUCAGCCACACUGACCUCUUUACUGCUGCUUGAAGUCCACAAA